GGCCACACUGGGACUGAGACACGGCCCAGACUCCUACGGGAGGCAGCAGUAGGGAAUCUUCCGCAAUGGACGAAAGUCUGACGGAGCAACGCCGCGUGAGUGAUGAAGGCUUUCGGGUCGUAAAACUCUGUUGUUAGGGAAGAACAAGUACAAGAGUAACUGCUGUCCUUGACGGUACCUAACCAGAAAGCCACGGCUAACUACGUGCCAGCAGCCGCGGUAAUACGUAGGUGGCAAGCGUUAUCCGGAAUUAUUGGGCGUAAAGCGCGCGCAGGCGGUUUCUUAA
rnacentral:rRNA from 1 species